rnacentral:tRNA from 1 species
CGACGUAGCUCAGUUGGUAGAGCAGCGGUAUCGUAAACCGCAGGUCGGGGGUUCGAGUCCCUUCGUCGGC